UACGAAGGGUGCAAGCGUUAAUCGGAAUUACUGGGCGUAAAGCGUGCGUAGGCGGUUUGUUAAGUCUGCUGUGAAAUCCCCGGGCUCAACCUGGGAAUGGCAGUGGAUACUGGCAAGCUAGAGUGUGUCAGAGGAUGGUGGAAUUCCCGGUGUAGCGGUGAAAUGCGUAGAGAUCGGGAGGAACAUCAGUGGCGAAGGCGGCCAUCUGGGACAACACUGACGCUGAGGCACGAAAGCGUGGGGAGCGAUCCGG
rnacentral:rRNA from 1 species